rnacentral:rRNA from 1 species
CCUACGGGUGGCAGCAGUGAGGAAUAUUGGUCAAUGGACGCAAGUCUGAACCAGCCAUGCCGCGUGCAGGAAGACGGCCCUAUGAGUUGUAAACUGCUUUUGUACGAGGGUAAACGCAGAUACGUGUAUCUGUCUGAAAGUAUCGUACGAAUAAGGAACGGCUAACUCCGCGCCAGCAGCCGCGGUAAUACGGAGGAUUCAAGCGUUAUCCGGAUUUAUGGGGUGUAAAGGGUGCGUAGGCGGUCGGAUAAGUUAGAGGUGAAAUCCCGAGGCUCAACUUCGGAAUUGCCUCUGAUACUGUUCGGCUGGAGAGUAGUAGCGGUAGGCGGAAUGUAUGGUGUAGCGGUGAAAUGCGUAGAGAUCAUACAGAACACCAGUGGCGAAGGCAGCUUAC